GACGAACGCUGGCGGCGUGCUUAACACAUGCAAGUCGAACGAUGAAGCCGGAGCUUGCUCUGGUGAAUUAGUGGCGAACGGGUGAGUAACACGUGAGUAACCUGCCCUUGACUCUGGGAUAACUGCUAGAAAUGGUAGCUAAUACCGGAUACGACCCUCGGAGGCAUCUCCAGGGGGUGGAAAGAAUUUCGGUCAAGGAUGGACUCGCGGCCUAUCAGCUAGUUGGUGAGGUAAUGGCUCACCAAGGCGACGACGGGUAGCCGGCCUGAGAGGGUGACCGGCCACACUGGGACUGAGACACGGCCCAGACUCCUACGGGAGGCGGCAGUGGGGAAUAUUGCACAAUGGGCGCAAGCCUGAUGCAGCAACGCCGCGUGAGGGAUGACGGCCUUCGGGUUGUAAACCUCUUUUAGUAGCGAAGAAGCGAAAGUGACGGUACCUGCAGAGAAAGCACCGGCUAACUACGUGCCAGCAGCCGCAGUAA
rnacentral:rRNA from 1 species